GAGAAGGGGUAAGUUUGAGCUGUAAUAAAAAGUCCACUGGCAGAAACUGGGAGUUCAAAGUUCCAUUGGCUGUGUCAUGACUGUCUCCCAUUGGCUGGGUUGUUGCUAGGAAAGGAGACAGAUCUUCUUCCUUUCAGGUGGGCUAGCGAGGUAGCCAAAGUAGUAGGAGAACAACUUGCAAGGUACUUCACUUCCCCGUAGAGUCUGCAACUGACAAUGAGUGGUCGGGCAAGAUGGUUUCCUGACGCCAUCUGAAGCCUGGUUACCUUUUAUGAAUUAUUAAUUCAUUUUCACAUCUUCAAAGGCUCAUUAUUAUGGGUUGUGUAGACUUGAACCAAUGGGUGAGGGGUACGGAUCCAUCUCCAUGACCUCACAGUGGUUUAACCUGGUGACAUGCCUCCCCUGGGCUCCUCAUGCUGGCACACACAUUAGACCUCGCAGAAGAUCAGUUAGGACAGCUCUGGCAAAGAGGACAAAGCCAGUACACUGGACUUGGCCACCCAUGUCAUUCAGCACCAGCCAUGUACAGGCAAUAAGCCAGGUUCUCACUGCAAACACAAGGGCCGUGGAUCAGACAAGGAUGAAGAACAGGUGCUGGGAGUAGCGCUGAGAGGAAGCAGGGAAGCAGCAAGGUGAUGGGGGUUGGGGGUCAGAAGACCUGUCCAGGUGUGGUAACCGGGAUCUAAAGCGGAGGGGCAGGGGAUCAAAGGCAGUAUGACAAGAAAUGGAGAAUUCUUAGAUGCGGACAGGCGUGGGUUUGAAAAAAAUAUGAUUGAUGUUAUAACAUUAUGUAUGAGAAACAUUGAAAAAAGAAACACAUGAAGACGUCGCUCAGAAAUUGGAGUGAACGACUGGAAGUUACAAAGGGUUGAGAGGUGUACAACAUGGUGAUUUGACAAUUCUGUACAUUACGCAGUGCUCACCGCAAACAUUUUCAUCACCCAGAAAGGAAGUCCCUCUACCCAGGAGCCCCUCUGCCCCCCAACUCUCCUCCCCACACCACUGAUCCACUUUCGCUCUCUAUGGAUUUACCUACUCUGGGCAUUUCAUAUAAAUGAAAUCUUACUA